rnacentral:rRNA from 1 species
UACGGGGGGGGCAAGCGUUGUUCGGAAUUACUGGGCGUAAAGGGCGCGUAGGCGGCAAUUCAAGUCAGCUGUGAAAUCUCCGAGCUUAACUCGGAACGGUCAGCUGAUACUGUUUGCUAGAGUACAGAAGGGGCAAUCGGAAUUCUUGGUGUAGCGGUGAAAUGCGUAGAUAUCAAGAGGAACACCUGAGGUGAAGACGGGUUGCUGGGCUGAUACUGACGCUGAGGCGCGAAAGCCUAGGGUAGCAAACGGG